UACGUAGGUGGCGAGCGUUAUCCGGAAUUACUGGGCGUAAAGGGCACGCAGGCGGCCAUUCAAGUCUGACGUGAAAGCUCCUGGCUUAACUGGGAGAGGUCGUUGGAGACUGAGUGGCUUGAGGCGAUGAGAGGGGUGCGGAAUUCCCGGUGUAGUGGUGGAAUGCGUAGAUAUCGGGAGGAACACCAGUGGCGAAAGCGGCGCCCUAGCAUUGGCCUGACGCUCAUGUGCGAAAGCGUGGGGAGCGAACGGGAUUAGAUACC
rnacentral:rRNA from 1 species